rnacentral:rRNA from 1 species
AUUGAACGCUGGCGGCAGGCCUAACACAUGCAAGUCGAGCGGAUGAAGGGAGCUUGCUCCUGGAUUCGGCGGCGGACGGGUGAGUAAUGCCUAGGAAUCUGCCUGGUAGUGGGGGAUAACGUCCGGAAACGGGCGCUAAUACCGCAUACGUCCUGAGGGGGAAAGUGGGGGAUCUUCGGACCUCACGCUAUCAGAUGAGCCUAGGUCGGAUUAGCUAGUUGGUGGGGUAAAGGCCUACCAAGGCGACGAUCCGUAACUGGUCUGAGAGGAUGAUCAGUCACACUGGAACUGAGACACGGUCCAGACUCCUACGGGAGGCAGCAGUGGGGAAUAUUGGACAAUGGGCGAAAGCCUGAUCCAGCCAUGCCGCGUGUGUGAAGAAGGUCUUCGGAUUGUAAAGCACUUUAAGUUGGGAGGAAGGGCAGUAAGUUAAUACCUUGCUGUUUUGACGUUACCAACAGAAUAAGCACCGGCCAACUUCGUG